GUUUAAGGGUGGUGGCACAGCUAAGACCCAAGAGUCUCUUUCAAGACACUGAAUUUAAGCAGAAACCAUAAGGACACUCAAAGGACCUGUGACUCUAAGGAAAUGCAUCAAAUGAGAGUGACAGAUGAAACAGUUUGAAGACAACGGCAGGAAAAGCAUGCUGAAGAUUGAAACAAACCUUGGCUGGAAAUAUUUGAAGGUAUCUAGCCAGUCCACAAUGAAAGCUUCAUUGCCCCCCAUGAGUAUUCUGGCAGAAAUUAUGGCGCCUGUAUUCUUUGGUUUCCCUAAACAUCACACCCUGCCUGUUUAUACGAGGCUCUUCAAAUGAAUGCACCCAAAAAUUCAAUAAGAGAGGGCAUCCUGCCAGUCCAAAGUAAACUCCUAAUGGACAUUGAAGUACUCCUGCAGAGCUUGUAUCUUCGACACCAUGCGCAUUAGAAACUCCACUGAGUCGUUUCCUUCACCAAGGCAGGACCCAGUGACUCAUUACUGUUGAUAGGUCGGGGGCAGGUAAUUUUUUUUUCAUGUUUAUUCAUUCCUUCAGGAAUAGAGAAAAUGAUAUGUUUAGUCUGCUUUCAAAUGGUAUGUCAAAUUUUCUCAUUGUUUAUCAGUAAUAUUCACUACCUUGGUUAUAUAUGAGCAUCUUUAGAUUUUUCUAUAUUUAGCAGUUGCAAAUGUAAAAUGUACGGUAAACUAUUUAUGUUCCUCAUAUUGUACUGUAUUUUUAGCGGUAAAAUACCGGCAGCUGUGGUUGCCAGGAAUUUACCGUAAAAUGUAUC